GGAUGGACAAAUAUUUAUUCGCAAAUUUAAUAUUUCUCCGUCAGCAUCGUAUUCGGCUGCAAUGAUUAAAUUCGAAAAAUCGAAACUCAUUCAUGGUGAAAUACCACAUUGGAAAGCCAAGUUCAUUGAAAUUCAGCUUUUGAGUAACGUUAUUACAAUGACUAUAUUUUUGCCAAAUGAAGAGAUGAAAUCUGGACAUGACAGCCUGUUCUAUAUAUCAAAUAAAGUAAAUUUUAAUGAAUUUAAAUCAAUUAAAACUACAUACACAAACAAAUGUGAAGAUAGAGUUAUAUUUACCAAUGUUUACGAUUAAUUCAACUUUUGAUUUGAGAUUUAUAUUAUCUGGAUUAUUAUCACAGUCUAUCAAAAAUAAGAAAAGAAAUUCGGUAAAACCGCCGAAAAAAUUUAUUGUUCAGAUCAAUCGUUUAUGUAUAUAAUAGACAUAAACGGAAUGCAGAGGUUUCUGGAAGGGGUUUACAAUGCAGAUCACAUUACAUAUAAUAUAGAAAUAAAAGAAGAAUUAUAAACUAAUUUUUAUUUUAUUAUAUAGAUUAAAUAACAUUCUUAUGUUUAUUAUUAUCUUAUGUUUAUUUUACUACAUGCUUAUGUUUAUAUAUAAAGUUAAUAUCCCACAAUACAAUAUAGCUUAAAUUAUUUUUAAUUUUAUUAUCUAUAUAAAAUUCAUUAAUAAAUAAAUAAUCUGUAGUUUGAAAGUGUGUUAUAGUCAUUUUCUGAUCUAUUUACUUAUUGCUUAAAGGAAGCCAAAAUUAUUUGCACUCAUAUGUAUUAGGUGUAAGAAAAUAAUUAAUAUGCAUAUAUACAAUUAAGCAAAUAUGUAACUAUAAUUAUAUAAUAUA